GGGAGCAUAGCUCAGCUGGUAGAGCAUCUGCCCUACAAGCAGGAGGUCACAGGUUCGAGCCCUGUUGCUCCCACCA
rnacentral:tRNA from 1 species